rnacentral:rRNA from 1 species
AGAGUUUGAUCCUGGCUCAGGACAAACGCUGGCGGCGUGCGUAACACAUGCAAGUCGAGCGGGCCAGUCUUCGGAUUGGUCAGCGGCGGACGGGUGAGUAACACGUGAGUCACCAACCCUCCAGUGGGGGAUACCCGGCGGAAACGCUGGUUAAUCCCGCAUACGGUUCUUUGGAACGAAAGCAGCAAUGCGCUGGUGGA